CCUACGGGGGGCAGCAGUGGGGAAUAUUGGGCAAUGGAGGCAACUCUGACCCAGCAACGCCGCGUGAAUGAUGAAGGUCUUCGGAUUGUAAAGUUCUGUGAUGGGGGAUGAACACAAUGACGGUACCCCAAUAGCAAGCCACGGCUAACUACGUGCCCGCAGCCGCGGUAAUACGUAGGUGGCAAGCGUUAUCCGGAAUGACUGGGCGUAAAGGGUGCGUAGGUGGUUUAGUAAGUUGGCGGUGUAAUUCCGGGGCUCAACCUCGGCGCUACCGCCAAAACUAUUUGAACAGGGGGGAGGGAGGGGUAGGUGAAUUCCUAGGGUAGCGGUGGAAUGCGUAGAUAUUAGGAGGAACAUCAGGGGCGAAGGCGACUUACUGGACUGUAACUGACACUGAGGCACGAAAGCGUGGGGAGCAAACAGGAUUAGAUACCCUAGUAGUC
rnacentral:rRNA from 1 species